UACGUAGGGUGCAAGCGUUAAUCGGAAUUACUGGGCGUAAAGCGUGCGCAGGCGGUUGUGCAAGACCGAUGUGAAAUCCCCGGGCUUAACCUGGGAAUGGCAUUGGUGACUGCACGGCUAGAGUGUGUCAGAGGGGGGUAGAAUUCCACGUGUAGCAGUGAAAUGCGUAGAGAUGUGGAGGAAUACCGAUGGCGAAGGCAGCCCCCUGGGAUAACACUGACGCUCAUGCACGAAAGCGUGGGGGGCAAACAGG
rnacentral:rRNA from 1 species